rnacentral:rRNA from 1 species
CCUACGGGAGGCAGCAGUGGGGAAUAUUGGGCAAUGGGCGAAAGCCUGACCCAGCGACGCCGCGUGAGGGAAGACGGUCUUCGGAUUGUAAACCUCUUUCAGCAGGGAAGACAAUAGGACGGUACCUGCAGAAGAAGCCACGGCUAACUACGUGCCAGCAGCCGCGGUAAUACGUAGGUGGCAAGCGUUAUCCGGAUUUACUGGGUGUAAGGGGUGUGUAGGCGGGUUUGCAAGUCAGAUGUGAAAAUUAUGGGCUCAACCCACAGCCUGCGUCGGAAACUACAGAUCUUGAGAGUGGGAGAGGUAAGCGGAAUUCCCGGUGUAGCGGUGAAAUGCGUAGAUAUUAGGAGGAACACCAGUGGCGAAGGCGGCUUACUGGACAGUAACUGACGCUGAGGCGCGAAAGCGUGGGGAGCAAACAGGAUUAGAUACCCCUGUAGUC